rnacentral:misc_RNA from 1 species
GCAGGGACGUGAGUAGCUCGACGUGGUGGGGAGCAACGACGGCCACAACGAGCUGGGAAAUCGACGGCGAGCAAGGAGAGAGCUUGGACUGGGGACGGGCUCGGUGAACGGUGACACGAUGAGCAAAGCGAGGUCACGGUGGAGCGAGCUCGGACACAAGCACACACAGCGUCUUCUUUGCGUCCUUCUCGUGUGCCCGUCUCAGACUCGAUGUCGCGUAGCACACGCAAGCAGCUGGCCGAGAGGAGCAGGGAGGGCGCCGAGGAAGCAAGGACGGCCAGCUCUGCCAUCACCAGCGAGCUCCAAGGACAGGGGAGGCAUGGCCAUGGCUGGGACGCCGAGAGAAGGGAGUAGGGCGCAGUCCGAGCUAGGCGCCAUGGGAGAUGGGGAGGAGCAUAGCAGGGAGAGAAGGGGCGACCGGGCGCCAUAGGAGAUGGGUUGGACCGAGCUCAGCGUUGGGGCUGGGGCGCCAUGGACAAUCUCCAAGGCCAAGAACUGAGGGGACGCGACGCUCGAGCGGUGGUAGAGCUUGGGGCAAGGCGAGCCCGACCAGAGCGUGGCGAUGGUUCACUGAAGAGAGGGAGUAGGGGCGCGGCGGCGGCCAGCGCCAUGGCUGAGGGAGCUCGACCACCAUGGAGAUGCGCUCGGCCAGGGAGGAACAAGGAGCUGGGGCUAGGCGCUUGCAGGGAAGAAGAUGAGGGAGAGACAGGCACGGCUAGGGAUGGACAGAGUCUUCGGCGGCGGCGGCGAGAUUUUUCGAGGGAGCUGAGCGAUGCGGAUGAGGACGAUGAC